UACGAAGGGGACUAGCGUUGUUCGGAAUUACUGGGCGUAAAGCGCACGUAGGCGGUUCGUUAAGUCGGGGGUGAAAUCCUGGAGCUCAACUCCAGAACUGCCUUCGAUACUGGCGAUCUUGAGUCCGGAAGAGGUGAGUGGAACUCCUAGUGUAGAGGUGGAAUUCGUAGAUAUUAGGAAGAACACCAGUGGCGAAGGCGGCUCACUGGUCCGGUACUGGCGCUGAGGUGCGAAAGCGUGGGGAGCAAACAGG
rnacentral:rRNA from 1 species